rnacentral:lncRNA from 1 species
AGCCUAUAAAAAUGAAUAAAUAGAGCGAAUGCCAAAUGAGUUACAAGUGAGGAAAGUGGAGGUAUUGCCUAAAUGUCAUGACUCGGAUUUCCCAAUCUUCAGGGAUCAUGAUGGUACCUAUUAAUGGUACCUAGGCAAGCUAAAUACUAAUAAUAAUUUCUUAACCACAUAAUCCUUUUUAAUAUUUAUCAACAAUAAGAUAAAAGUAACCGAUUUAACUAAACAAACGGAAGACUUAAUGUUAAUGAAAAACGAAUAAUAAUACGGAAGUUCAACAUAGCCUCUACCUAAAAUCAGGUGACACAUAACUCACGAACUACUAAGAUUCACUAAAUACAACGUCUGAAAGAAAGUAUAAACUGUUUGUCUCGAAAUACAUGAGAUCAAAUUGAAAUAAGGAUAGAGGAGACAUCGGGCCUGCGGACGCCUGCUAGGCUACCUCGGUGUCUCACUGGAAUGAAGGCUCGCUCCCAGGCUACUGCUGCUGCUCAAAAACUACUCCAGUAUCUGCACAUAAGUGCAGAGUGUAGCGUCAACACAACCGACCCCAUGUGCUGGUAAGUGUCUGGCCUAAACCCGACGAAGUAAUGACGAGGCUAGGACAAAAUUCCAGAUAAACCUAUGUAAUUACAUAAUAUAUAGCGAAAGGAACAACAGGAAAUAAACAAGUAAAACUAGGGAGGGAAACAUGCUCUGGGGAUAGCAAAAAUGAACAAUAUUCUCAAAAUUGACCAAGAAACCAACUAUAAAGCCGCUAACACGAAACAUAAUAGAUAAAACAACUUUCACUUUAGAUGUUCAUCUCGUUGCAGGCGUUCAACCCGAUCCCAUUUCUCAAUUUCUCGUGGUAAGCGUACCACAUGAUCCCAUUUCUUCAUAACUUGUGGUAGGCGUACCACCCGAUCCCAUUUCAUCAUAACUUAUGGUAGGCAUAUACCGCCCGCUUCCAUUUCAUCAAUAUCCCGUGGUAGGCGUAUCACCACACCCAUUUUAAUCAAUAAACAGAAAGGGAGAACUUUGUCAGAGAAUACUACAAGACAGUGAAGUGUGAUGUCUUAAAAAAUAUCCUUAUAUUUGUGAAUUCUCCUUCACUCAUUGUGAAGGAAAUUAUUAGUAAUUAAAUUGUUAUCAUGAGAAGCAAUUUAUAUGCAUAUCAAUUUGAUUUUACAUUGAAAGAGUGUGCCUUUAACAAACUUUAAGAAACAUACCCAUAUUGUGAAUUCAAUAACCAAAUAAAAUUUUCAUUUUUUCAGAAGAUCAAAUUAAUCAAACUAUAUCUCAAAUUUUACCUACUUCUUAUUUUUUGCAUCAACAUUAUGCAUCAAAUUAAAGUAGGGAAAGUCUGGAUUGAAACUUUCUUAUACAGAUUUUGGAGAAAAGUAAAAAAUAUUGAGAUCAACGAGACCUACCAGCAAAGGAAGAAGAAUAUAGCAGGCCAAAACUACAAAGAAACAACAAAAGAGCAAUAGAUUCUGAUUAGUAAAGAAACCCUAAUCCAUGACCAGUGAAAUCUAUAUUUAACCUAAUGGAAUAUGAAUCUAAAUAAGGUCGACGCUCUUCUACGCUCACUAAAAAUACAAAAUCAAAGUUUACCUGCUACAGCUUUGCAUUUCACGACCAAAAGGGUCAUCAAAAUCAAAACCAUGAGGAAGAGAGAGAGAGAAAGAAAGAGAGAGAUAGAUAGAUAGAGUAGAAAGAAUGUACCUACUGACAGUGGUCGGUGAUAGUGAUAAAGAUGAGUUUAGCGCCGACGACAUGGGAGAGAGAGGGGCGAUGCAUAUGCUCUAUCUUGCGGCUUGCCGUGGGUGAAUGUGUUUCCACGCAGUACAUGGAGAGAGUAUUCUAGAAGGAAAAAUGUGAGAGAAUGAAAUGAGUAUAAUAGGCUUUUAAUUUAGUAAUCUUUACUGAUUAUUACUUUGAAUAGCUGGUAAAAAGUUACGACUUCUUGGAAAAUGUUCAAUUGUUGCUAAAUGCUAAUGUUUGUGCAUAGAAAAUUA